AAUAGAUACCCAGGUAGUCCACGCCGUAAACGUUGGGCGCUAGAUGUGGGGACCUUUCCACGGUUUCCGUGUCGUAGCUAACGCAUUAAGCGCCCCGCCUGGGGAGUACGGCCGCAAGGCUAAAACUCAAAGGAAUUGACGGGGGCCCGCACAAGCGGCGGAGCAUGCGGAUUAAUUCGAUGCAACGCGAAGAACCUUACCAAGGCUUGACAUACACGAGAACGGGCCAGAAAUGGUCAACUCUUUGGACACUCGUGAACAGGUGGUGCAUGGUUGUCGUCAGCUCGUGUCGUGAGAUGUUGGGUUAAGUCCCGCAACGAGCGCAACCCUCGUCGCAUGUUGCCAGCACGUUAUGGUGGGGACUCAUGUGAGACUGCCGGGGUCAACUCGGAGGAAGGUGGGGAUGACGUCAAAUCAUCAUGCCCCUUAUGUCUUGGGCUUCACGCAUGCUACAAUGGCCGGUACAAAGGGCUGCGAUGUCGUAAGGCGGAGCGAAUCCCAAAAAGCCGGUCUCAGUUCGGAUUGAGGUCUGCUAACG
rnacentral:rRNA from 1 species